rnacentral:misc_RNA from 1 species
GCCAUUUUUAAACUCCUUGUGGGAUAAAUGAGUCCACAAAAAUAAUUUCUAUCCCAAAAUUGUUAAAUAAACACAUUAAUUAGCAUUCCAGUCUCCAAAUAGCAUACAUGGCAACUAUCUUGAAUUAAAUAACAACUCUGAUUAAUACAUACUACAACAAUACAAGUUUCCAUCUCUUUAUUAAUAAUUAACUGGUAACCAAUAGCUCAGCCAAGUGUAAAAUGGGAUGACAAUUGAGAUCUCAAGCCUCAGUAUACCCCUCCUCCAUUCCUUGUUUCCGGACCAAUCAGGCUGCAAUUAUAUCAAGCUACAGAAAAUUAAAUGUGCAACAAUGAGAAGCACUUGGAGCAUGUACCUGUCGUAUAUUAUUCACCACAGGCAAGAAGCAUGAUGCAGAAGUGGGAGAGAAUAGAGAUCUGUCAAGAAAGCCUCAAUGCAGAAUCUUCAUCCAUUGUCCAAACAAAACCAGGCAUGUCAAAUCGAGGCCCNCACAGUCCUAUAAAUGUAAAGCUUCUCAACAGGACAACUUUCUGGCCUUGAACCCGGAGGUCCCCUCUCAUCCAUAACUUCAACAUUGAGCCUAGGUAUCUUCUGACCUAGCAGCUUACAUGCUCCAAAACUCACUGAGCAAGAAGACAUCCAAAGGGAUCGCAUUGUCUCCAGCUUUGCAGCAUUGGCCAAAAGAGCCUUGUCCCCAAACGGACAAUCUCGAAUCUCUAGUUUGCGAAGGUUUUCACACCCAGACAGCACAUGAUGGAGUCCCAGAUCACUAUCUCCAGCAAAAGCUACAGAAAGCAUCUCUAGUUUUUUGGCAUGUGUUCCAAUGUACUCAAACACACGAUCAGUGAGGAGACCUGACAGUGAAAGGCGCCGGAGAUCCUUGCAGUGUUCAACAAUAGCUCCAAAACCAUCAUCUAAUGGAUGAAGGGUUAUAUAAUCAGGGGUUCGUGGCUCAAUAAUACAAAGACGAAAGCGAGUCAUUUUUGGACAGUUCCUGGCAAUUGUUACCAAGGCAUCAUUAGUCAUUUGACGGCAA